UCAAACUUACUCUCCACUCGGCUUAUGGAGACCAUCAGCUGCAGGACAAAUAUUUUAGUUUGGAUAUGCAUGUCACAAUUAAUAAUAAAAAGAUACAGGACCAAAGCAGACUGAAUGGCUCCAAUUAUCAGAAUGUGAAAGCAUGAGUCGGAAUCUACUUUUUGUACGUCUACUCUGAGGAGUCUCUUCUUUAGCCAAGCAGUACUGGGCCAUGAGAACAUAUCCACAAAGUUGAAGUCAGCUCUGUGAGCCGUGGAGUUCUCCCCAGCUCUGUGAAGCCCUGUGAAGCAGAGUUUUCGGAAGUGAUGAUUAUUUUGAGUCAAAAAUGAUCACCGGACACCACGUAACGUAUACACCAAAGGAACUCAAGAAAUAAUAGCCGCUGU
rnacentral:lncRNA from 1 species